rnacentral:rRNA from 1 species
UACGUAGGUGGCGAGCGUUGUCCGGAUUUAUUGGGCGUAAAGAGCUCGUAGGCGGUUUGUCGCGUCUGCCGUGAAAGUCCGGGGCUCAACUCCGGAUCUGCGGUGGGUACGGGCAGACUAGAGUGAUGUAGGGGAGACUGGAAUUCCUGGUGUAGCGGUGAAAUGCGCAGAUAUCAGGAGGAACACCGAUGGCGAAGGCAGGUCUCUGGGCAUUAACUGACGCUGAGGAGCGAAAGCAUGGGGAGCGAACAGG